CCUACGGGAGGCAGCAGUGAGGAAUAUUGGACAAUGGGCGCAAGCCUGAUCCAGCCAUCCCGCGUGCAGGAAGACGGCCCUAUGGGUUGUAAACUGCUUUUAUCUGGGGAUAAACCUACUUACAUGUAAGUAGCUGAAGGUACCAGAAGAAUAAGCACCGGCUAACUCCGUGCCAGCAGCCGCGGUAAUA
rnacentral:rRNA from 1 species